rnacentral:rRNA from 1 species
GAUGAACGCUGGCGGCGUGCCUAAUACAUGCAAGUCGAGCGAACAGACGAGGAGCUUGCUCCUCUGACGUUAGCGGCGGACGGGUGAGUAACACGUGGAUAACCUACCUAUAAGACUGGGAUAACUUCGGGAAACCGGAGCUAAUACCGGAUAAUAUAUUGAACCGCAUGGUUCAAUAGUGAAAGACGGUUUUGCUGUCACUUAUAGAUGGAUCCGCGCCGCAUUAGCUAGUUGGUAAGGUAACGGCUUACCAAGGCAACGAUGCGUAGCCGACCUGAGAGGGUUAUCCGCCACACUGGAACUUAGACACGGUCCCGACUCCUACGGGAGGCAGCAGUAGGGAAUCUUCCGCAAUGGGCGGAAGCCUGACGGAACACAUCCGCGUGGGUGAUGAAGGUCUUCGGAUCUUAAAACUCUGUUAUUUGGGAAGAACAAAUGUGUAAGUAACUAUGCACGUCUUGACGGUACCUAAUCAGAAAGCCACGGCUAACUACGUG